rnacentral:rRNA from 1 species
CGGCCCCCGUCUAAGUGCCCUGGAACGGGCCGUCAGAGAGGGUGAGAAUCCCGUCUUGGGCGGGGUGUCCGUGCCCGUGUAAAGCUCCUUCGACGAGUCGAGUUGUUUGGGAAUGCAGCUCUAAAUGGGUGGUAAAUUUCAUCUAAAGCUAAAUACUGGCCGGAGACCGAUAGCGCACAAGUAGAGUGAUCGAAAGAUGAAAAGCACUUUGAAAAGAGAGUUAAACAGCACGUGAAAUUGUUGAAAGGGAAGCGCUUGCGACCAGACUCGCCCGCGGGGUUCAGCCGGCAUUCGUGCCGGUGUACUUCCCCGUGGGCGGGCCAGCGUCGGUUUGGGCGGCCGGUCAAAGGCCCCUGGAAUGUAGUGCCCUCCGGGGCACCUUAUAGCCAGGGGUGCAAUGCGGCCAGCCUGGACCGAGGAACGCGCUUCGGCACGGACGCUGGCAUAAUGGUCGUAAACGACCCGUCUGAAAACCCGGGCAC